rnacentral:tRNA from 1 species
GGAAGGGUGGCUCAGUGGUAGAGCGUCUCCGCCGGCCCCGAGUCGGCCGGUAAAUGGCUUCGCGUGGUUCGAAUCCCGCCCCUUCCA